GGCAUCACCAACUCAAUGGACAUGAAUUUGAGCAAACUCCAGGAGACAGCGGAGAACAGACCCUACAGAGAUCUGCUCUGCCCUGCCGUGGGGAGUGCUUAGAAAUCAGACAACAUCCUUUCACAGCAGCGGUUAAUGGAACCAUCCAGCUAGGAGGUCAAGGGCAGACACUUGGACAUUGGACAGUCCUGGGUUCAGAGCCUGACCUUGCUACCCACCAGCUCUGUGACCCUGCAGUCCCACUUUGCUCUGAGCUUGAUUCAGUUUUACCAUCUGCAAAAUGGGACUCACAGCCUUUGAAGACAAAAUCAAUAAACCAGUAGGAGAGUCCCUCACCAACUCAACGGACAUGAGUCUGAGCAAACCCCAGAAGAUCGUGAAGGACAGGGGAUCCUGGUGUGCUGCAGUCCAUGGAGUCGCAGAGAGUUGGACAGGACUGAGCGACUGAACAACAUCAAGGAGAAUCUCACCCCUCUUUUAUAUUGGAUGACAUUCAUAGAUCCGUAAUUAAAUGGACCACAUGUUUCUUAAAGUAUUUAUUUUUAUUUAUGUAUUUGACUGUGCUGGGUCUUACUUGCAGCAUGUGGGAUCUAGUUCCCUGACCAGGGAUCAAACCUGUGUCCCCUGCAUUGGGAGCUUGGAGUCAGCCACUGAACCACCAGGGAAAUCCUUGGAUUACCUUUUUUUUUUUCAUUUUGAAUCUCAUUUCUUUUUUUUCACUUUGAAUCUCUCGAUCCCUAAGCAACAGGUCAGACUGCUUCAAGAGACACUGCGGGAUAGAAAUAUGCAUUUUGGCAGAACAUUAGAAAGACACAAGUUACAGACCUCCCUGGUGGUCUAGUGGUUAGGAAUCUGCCUGCUAAUUCAGAAGACACAGGUUUAAUCCUUGACCUGGGAAGAUCCCACAUGCCUCAGAUCAACUAAGCCGGAGCACCACGAUUACUGAGCCUGCACUCUAGAGCCUGUGCUCUGCAACGAGAGAAGCCCCUGCCAUGAAAAGCCUGCAUACUGCAAACAGAGAGGAGCCCCCGCUUGCUGCAGCUAGAGAGAGCCCUCGCACAGCAAUGAAGGCCUAGCACAGCCAAAAAUAAAGAAAUAAAUAAAGUGAAAAAGAAAAGUAAUAAAAAACCCCAUAAGUCACAUUUACCGAGUGUCUGCUAUGUGUGAGGCACUGGCAUAAUUUCCUGCUCUCACCAUGACUUUGUGUGGUGGGAAAUAUUACCCAUUUUACAGAUGGGGACGUUGAGGCAGGGAGCUUCCCAGGGAUAUGACCCCAGUCCUCUCAAUUUACCCUGCGUUUUUCACGGGAAGUGUGUUGGGAGCAGUGAA